UGGCAUGGCGGAUGUAACCUGAUACUGUAACCUGAUACAGGACGGACUACUUUGGGAAUGAAGUUUCUCUAGUGCUUCAAGUUGCAGGCAUCGGUUCGUCUUUCCUGACUCCGGACUCCUUCCCAAACUCAGUGAUGCAGAGAAGACUAUUUCCAACUAAGACAGCAUACAGAAAUUUUUCACAACUUCACACAUAAGCAACCAGCGCUUCUGAAACGAUGAGGAGUGGACUUGAAAGCUGUGCCUGGACUCACAGGUGCACUCAAUCUCUCGAGAGAAGCCAGCCGUACCUGUAGCUGUUGGACCCAAUGAAACCAGACUCAAAAGCUGUGCCUGGACUCACAGGAAAGACUGCAGAAGUCGAGAUUCUCCACUAAGAUGGACUAGCAAACAUUAUUUCAAAGUUCAAUCUUUAUUCAGCAACAUCGGACGCUUGAUUGUAACUGUUUCUCUUCUCGUUAAGAUCACGUAUUUCGUUUUCGAAACGCACGUAAAUAAUUUGAACAUAGUCCCAACAGUGGAAGUCAAGCAAGAAAUGUUAUGUUUUGUAUAGAGCUCUGCAUUUUGUUACAACAUAUGAUAGCAUUGUAUAAUCGUACGAGAAACUAAAUCGUUAGAAACAAAGUAUUUCGUUCACCGUUUAGCCAAUAUCAGUAAGCUGAUAUUGUGCUCUGAAACUGUUUAACUUUAUGUAACUGCAGGGCAUUGAUUGUAUUGUAUGUUCCAUGUAUGUAUGUACACAUAGAAAAAAAAAAUAGAGAUAAGAAGAUUAUAAAUGGACUAGGCUGGUACAUUUGUUUACAGGAACGGGUAGAAGUAAAAUUGUUGUACUGUAAUAUAUGAUAAAAUGUGAAGACGUUUUGUAAAACCAUUGAAAAAAACUUGGGAUUUGUGUAUUCCUGUAAACAAACUUAGUACCAGCG